rnacentral:rRNA from 1 species
UACGUAGGGGGCUAGCGUUGUCCGGAAUCAUUGGGCGUAAAGAGCGUGUAGGCGGCCCGGUAAGUCCGCUGUGAAAGUCGGGGGCUCAACCCUCGAAUGCCGGUGGAUACUGUCGGGCUAGAGUGCGGAAGAGGCGAGUGGAAUUCCUGGUGUAGCGGUGAAAUGCGCAGAUAUCAGGAGGAACACCAAUUGCGAAGGCAGCUCGCUGGGACGUAACUGACGCUGAGACGCGAAAGCGUGGUGAGCGAACAGG